GAGGGAGGAAGUUUAUUGACGUUACCUCAUGAAUAAGGGGCUCCCAACUCUGUGCCAGCAGGAGCGGUAAUACAGAGGCCCCAAGCAUUAUCCGGAUUUACUGGGCGUAAAGGGUGCGUAGGCGGCGUGAUUAGUCGGGUGUUAAAUCCUGGGGCUCAACCUCAGAAUCGCAUUCGAAACGGUCAUGCUAGAAGAAGUCAGAGGUAAGCAGAACUCUCGGUGUAGGGGUGAAAUCCGUUGAUAUCGAGGGGAAUACCAAAUGCGAAGGCAGCUUACUGGGACUUUCUUGACGCUGAGGCACGAAAGCGUGGGUAGCGAAUCGGAUUAGAUACCCGAGUAGUCCACGCCCUAAACGCUGUCUGUUGGCUUUGGAGGGAAUCGACCCCCCCCGAGGCGAAGUUAACACGUUAAACAGACCGCCUGGGUAGUACGAGCGCAAGCUUAAAACUCAAAGGAAUAGACGGGGGCUCGCACAAGCGGUGGAUCAUGAGGCUUAAUUCGUCGAUAAGCGAAAAACCUUACCAAGGCUAGAAAUCAUACUGCACGCUCUGGGAAACCAGAGAAGCCUUAGAGGGUGUAUGACAGGUGAUGCAUGGCCGUCGUCAGUUCGUGGCUUGAGCUGUUCCCUUAAGUGGGGAAACGAACGCAACCCUCGUUGCCUGUUACAAGUGUCAGGCGAGACUGCUCCCUCACGGGAGAGGAAGGUGAGGAUGACGCCAGGUCAGCAUGUCCCUAGAUGCCUUGGGCUGCACUCGUGAUACAAUGGGUAGUACAAAGGGACGCAAUACCGUAAGGUGGAGCAAAUCCUGAGAAAACUAUCCUCAGUUCGGAUUGGGGGCUGCAACUCGCCCCCAUGAAGCCGGAAUCGC
rnacentral:rRNA from 1 species